GUGUAGGGGUACCAGGUAGUUGAUGUGUAGGGGUACCAGGUAGUUGAUGUGUAGGGGUACUAGGUAGUUGAUGUGUAGGGGUACGAGGUAGUUGAUGUGUAGGGGUACGAGGUAGUUGAUGUGUAGGGGUACGAGGUAGUUGAUGUGUAGGGGUACCAGGUAGUUGAUGUGUAGGGGUACGGGGUAGUUGAUGUGUAGGGGUACCAGGUAGUUGAUGUGUAGGGGUACCAGGUAGUUGAUGUGUAGGGGUACCAGGUAGUUGAUGUGUAGGGGUACCAGGUAGUUGAUGUGUAGGGGUACUAGGUAGUUGAUGUGUAGGGGUACCAGGUAGUUGAUGUGUAGGGGUACUAGGUAGUUGAUGUGUAGGGGUACCAGGUAGUUGAUGUGUAGGGGUACUAGGUAGUUGAUGUGUAGGGGUACCAGGUA